CUGCUUUGGCCGCCACCGCAGCUGCCGCUGCCUGCUCGUUGCCGCGUCUUCCCGGAGGCGGCUGCUGGAAGCCGCCGGGAGCAGCUGCGGGGCUCUGCCAUAUUGUGUCUUCCCCUGGCCGGCCCUUGCCUUCCCCCUGCGGCGGCCGAGCUGACGAGUUAUAAGAGUCAAUGGGUCCAGUAAUUGGAAUGACACCAGAGAAGAGAGCUGAAACCCCAGGAGCUGAAAAGGUUGCAGGAUUAAGCCAGAUUUACAAAAUGGGAAGCUUGCCUGAAGCUGUCGAUGCUGCCAGGCCAAAGGCCACUCUAGUGGACAGUGAGUCAGCGGAUGAUGAACUCACAAACUUGAACUGGCUUCACGAAAGCACCAAUCUUCUUACCAACUUCAGCCUGGGAAGUGAGGGUCUUCCUAUUGUUAGUCCACUGUAUGACAUAGAAGGAGAUGAUGUGCCGCCUUUUGAACCGUCGCGCUACCAGGACCCCGAAAAAAAAUCGGCAACUUCAAAGCCCCCUUACUCCUUUAGCCUCCUUAUUUAUAUGGCUAUUGAACACUCUCCAAACAAAUGUUUGCCCGUCAAGGAAAUUUAUAGCUGGAUUCUGGACCGCUUCCCAUAUUUCGCUACUGCACCAACAGGCUGGAAGAAUUCUGUUCGUCAUAAUCUGUCCCUGAAUAAAUGUUUUCAGAAAGUGGAAAGAAGCCAUGGCAAGGUGAAUGGAAAAGGUUCUUUAUGGUGCGUUGAUCCAGAAUAUAAACCCAGUCUCAUGCGGGCACUGAAGAAGCAGCCUUUUUCCUCAACAUUGACGGUUUACACGCCUCCUGCCUCUCCGCGAAGUGGUUCUUUAUCACCUCACUACUUGACCUCUGUACUAAAGCAGAACCAAGUGCGAUCUCUCAAAGAGUCUGAUAUUGAUGCUGCCACUGCAAUGAUGCUUUUAAAUACUUCUCUAGAACAAGGAGUUUUAGAACGUGAGAAACCUCUUCCUCUUAAAACAGCACUGCAAAAAAAGAGGAGUUAUAGCAAUGCGUUUACCCAUCCCGGUGCUGCGCGUUUACCAGAGGGCGACUCCCCAGCCACCAGCACUGAUCCCAAGGAAGACCACAAUUACAGUGCAAGCAGCAUGGCGGCACAGCGCUGUGUCUCCCGGUCUAGUGUGUCUUCCCUGUCCUCUGUGGAUGAGGUAUAUGAACUGAUCCCAAAGAGCAGCCACGUGGGAAGCGACGGCAGUGAAGGGUUUCAUAGUGAAGAAGAUACAGACGUUGAUUACGAAGACGAUCCUCUUGGAGACAGUGGCUACGCGCCACAGGCUUGUGCAGAUACCUCUAGAAAAGGACAGCCAGGCAAAAAGAUGCGAACGCAGCCAUGCCAAGAAAUCGACGAGGAGCUCAAAGAGGCAGCUGGAUCUCUGCUCCACCUUGCUGGAAUUCGCACGUGUCUGGGUUCCCUAAUAAGUACUGUUAAGACACAAAAUCAAAAGCAGCGGAAAAAAUAGAAAUCCUUAUUAGAGUGAAAUUACUUUAAAGUGUGGCAAUACUCUUCUACUUUAUUCUUCACAAGGGAUAUCAAAGCCAUAAUGGACUUCUUUAGUUUCGGGGUGGGGAGGGGUGCUAAUUACUUCUUUCUUUCAAAAGAUUAAUGUUUUAUUUUAUUUUUUUAUUUCUAUUAAAUAAUUGCUGUUAGGAUCAUGCCCAAUCGUAAAUGUAUGAUGUGAAGUCCUAAGAGGAUAACUUCUGUGGAUGAGGGUCUCCAAGAUUUGGAAGUUUUUAUAAUGAAAUACCCGGCAUCUAUCUUCAAACUAAAGGGAAAGUCUUUCCUUCUGUUAAUACGUCAAAAUCAUAACAGUUUUCCUGAGUUUGGAUUAUAACUGCCAGUAGAUGACCAGUCACGAGCGAACCACUUCUCAGCCGCCAGUCCUUAGCCCAUAUUAAAAGCAACUUACGAAUGUUUAGUUUUUGUAUCUAAUCUGGUUAUUAAAAUGUUUAUAAAGUUUAUUUUUACCAAAGAGAUGCAAUUCAUUAUGAUAAAGUAUUACAGAAUAAACUUUGUUUUAUAACAUUUUUGUGCUGUUCAUUUGUGGGCCGGGGUGGAGGAGACACAGGUGGCUCGUGGUCCUGUGUACACGCACAUGCGUAUACACACGCACGUAAACACAACUUUCUGUUGCACUUGUACAGAAUUGGAGUCAUGCAGAUGAAAAACCAUGUUUCAAUUUCAGAAUUGAAAAAAUCUUUUAUUUUUCAAAGCGUUGUUUUUCCUGGUUUUUACAUGUCAUCUUAAUCACUGAAAGCUAAAAUAGGACUAAUUUAAUGAUCCUCUUCCUAAAAUUCAGCUGUUUUUCCUGUUUGAGUAUUUAAAAGAAAACUCGUGUGUGUGAGAAAUUUUGAAAUAUAACAGAAGAAUUGAGUAGGAUAUAAAAGUAUUAAGAUUGUUUCUAAGUGCACUCAUGUUACUUGAAAUACACCAGUAAUACCGCUGUUUAAAAACUGGGACAUCCAAUAUAAAAAAUAAAAAGGAAUCAUCUACAACCAACCUCUUCAUCUUGUUUCCCCCCUUGAAGUUCUAUGCCGAUAAUUUAAAUAGUAUUUUCUACAUAUAGUUCAUUUAAAUUAAGUGAGUCAACCACAUUGAUUAUAAACUACAACCACCCUCUCUGUGCCCCACUCCUUCCAAUGCAUCCUUUUGAAGUACAACAGUCGUUUAAAAAUCAUAGCCAUUUGGGACCCAUCUAUUUGUUCCUUAAAAGAAUUUUUUUCUCACUUUUGCAUUUAUUGUCUAGCUCUGAUGGGGAAAGAAAUAUUUUUACAACAAUAACCUAUUUUUGAAAUGUGGAUUAAGAACGCAUUCAUCCCUUCAUAAUUUCAGAACAUACUAAUUUGAUAGCUUUUUAAAAACUGGAAAUAAAGCUGUCAAUGUAGAUUGGAUUUAGAUUUAAAAUACCAAUAGUUGUUUAUGUUCCAUGAAAUUUUAAAUAGAGGUGUUUAGAAGCUGCAGGUGAAAAUUAAAAUAGCCAGGAGCUAACUUUUGUGUAUACGGAGAAUUCAACGCACUUAUAUUCACAGAUAGUUGUGUUCCAAAAGUUUAUUUACAAAUCUGUUGUUUGGAAAGUAGGCGCAUUUUCCAGCAAACUUCAAGGCAAGCUAUAAAAGCUUAUUUAGCUCAUAAUGUGUUUGAUAAACAACAAUCCCUUCUUAACUGAAAGCAACAUGCACAAAAUUUUUUGGAUAAGUAGUUUCCUUCCAUGAAAGUUUUGCCUCAACCUCAAGAUUUUGGCUCAAGUGAAUACUGGUAUUGAGUUACCCUUGGCAAGUUUAAUAAAAGGAAAGGGGGAGUUGGACAAAAAGAGAUUACAAAAAGUAAUAUUAAUUUAGGGGAGAUCGAAGCUGAAACAACUGAUGUGUGUCAGGAGAAGGGAGUUGAGAAUUCUAAGAGAUUGCAGCCAGAUUAAAGUACUCUGCAAUGUAAUUUAAGUUUAUAGGGUAAUCUUGUACGUUGGAGAGGGGUUGACAAAAAGCUCAUCCUUAGUGAGCUGAGAUCUAUUCACUCAAGUAUUUGAGCGCCUAGUCCCAAACACAAAAAUAGACAAGCCCUGCCCUAAAAAUGUAAGUGUAAUAGUUGCCAUCGAAAGACUAGAGAGCUAUGAGAUCAUGUAACAGGCGGCCUAACAGUUAACUGCUCAGCUGCCAAACAAAAUAUUGGUGAUUGGAACCCACUCGGGCUCCGCGGCAGAAAGACCUGAUGAUCCGCUCCCGUAAAUAUUACAGGCUAGAAAACCCAGUGGGAGGCAGUUCUACUUCGUCACGUGGGGUCGCUGUGAGUCGAGAAUCAACUGGCACCUAACAACACCCUGAAGAUGUGAUUUAAGCUAAGAUAUGAAAGAAGCAGAGGUAUUAUUUUGGGAACGAAUGUAUGAAAAAUUGUGCCGGUCAGGGGUUACUGUUUUCUCUGAGAUCUCUGUGAUAAGGGAAAAUGAGGCUUUCAGUGAGCUAUGACAGUGUGGCUACAAAGCAGAGGGACUGGGGCCAGAUCUUGCAAAGCCAUACGUUGCUGCUGCUGCUGCCGUUAGGUGCUGUUGAAGGUUUCAACUGGUAGCGACCCUAUGUACAACAGAACAAAACACUGCCCGGUCCUGCGACAUCGUCAGAAUCAUGCUUGAGCCCAUUGUUACAGCCACUGUGUCAGUCCAUCUUGUGGAGGGUCUUCCUCUUUUCCUGACUUCUACUUUACCAAGCGUGAUGCCCUUCUCCAGGGGCUGGUUCCUCUUGAUAGCGUGUCCAAAGUACGUGAGACAAAGUUUCACCAUCCUUGUUUCUAAAGAGCCAUUCUGGCUAUACUUGUUCCAAAGGCUGAUUUGUUCAUUCUUCUGGGAGUCAAUUGGUAUACUCGAUAUUCUUCACCAACACCGUAAUUCAAAGGCAUCGGUUCUUCUUCGGUCUUCCUUAUUCACUGUCCACCUUCAGCAUGCAUAUGAAGUGAUUGAAAAUACCAUGGCUUGGAUCAGGUGCACCCUAGUCCUUUUCGACACUUUAAAGAGGCCUUUUGCAGCAGAUUUGCCCAAUGCAACACAGUCGUUCAAUUUCUUGACCACUGCUUCCAUGGACGUUGAUUGUGGAUCCAAGUAAAAUGAAACCCUUGACAACUUCAAUCCUUUCUCCAUUUAUCAUGAUGUUGCCUGUUGGUCCAGUUGUGAGGAUUUUUGUUUUCUUUAUGUUGAGGUGCAAUCCAUACUGAAGACUGUAGUCUUUGAUCUUCAUCAGUAAGUGCUUCAAGUCCUCUUUACUUUUAUUAAGCAAGGUUGUGUCAUCUGCAUAUCAUAGGUUGUUAAUUCAUCUCCAAUCCUGAUGCCGCAUUCUUUGUAUAGUCCAGCUUCUUGGAUUAUUUGCUCAGCAUACAGAUUGAAUAAAUAUGGUGAAAUAUACAAUCCCGAUGCACACUUUUCCUGCCUUUAAACCACGCAGUAUCUCCUUGUUCUGUUCGAAUGAUUGCCCCUUGGUCUAUGUACAAGAUGGCUCAUGAGCACAAUUAAGUGUACUGGAAUUCUCAUUCUUCUCAAUGUUAGCCAUAAUUUGUUGUGAUCCACACAGUAGAAAGCAUUUGCAUAGUCAACAAAAUGCAGGUAAACAUCUUUCUGGUACUCUCUGCUUUCUGCCAAGAUUCAUCUGACAUCAGCAAUGAUAUUCCUUGUUCCACCCCCUUUCUGAAUCUGGCUUGAACUUGUGGCAGUUCCCUGUCAAUGUACUGCUGCAACCCUUUUUGAAUUAUCUUAAGCAAAAUUUUUCUUGCUUGUGAUAUCGGUGAUAUUGUUUGAUAAUUGCUGCAUUCUGUAGGAUCAUCUUUCUUUGGAAUGGGCACAAAUAUGGAUCUCUUCCAGUCAGUUGCCCAGGUAGCUGUCUUCCAAAUUUCUUGGCAUAGAUGAGUGAGUACCUCCAGCGCUCCAUCCAUUACAGCCUUGGAAAUCUUAUGACAGUUCUACCCUGUCAUAUACAGUUGCUAUGAGUCAGGAUGAACUCGAUGGCACACAAUGACUUACUAUGUUGAGCAUCUUUUCAUGUGCUUAUUGACCAUUUGUAUAUGCUUUUAGAAAAAUGCCUAUUCAAGCCUUUUGCCCAGCAUUUGAUCGGGUUGUUUGUCUUUUUGGUUUUGGGUUGUAGGAGUUCUUUAUAUACUCGGGAUAUCAAACACUUAUUACCCAUUGCCAUCGAGUCGAUUCUGACUCAUAGUGACCCUAUAGGACAGAGUAGAACAGCCUCAUAGGGCUUCCAAGGAGUGCCUAGUGGAUUCGAACUGCCGACCUUUUGGUUGGCAGCCAUAGCUCUUAACCACCACGCCACCAGAGUUUCUAAAUGCUUAUUGUGUUAAUGAUUUUAAAAUAAUUUCUCCCAUUCUAUGGGCUGUCUUUUCACUUUCUUGACAAUGUCUGUUUAUGGUGCAUUGGUUAAGAGCUUGGCUGCUAACAAAAAGGUUGUUAGUUCAAAUCCACCAGCCACUCUUUGGAAACUCUGUGGGGCAGUUCUACUCUGUUCUAUAUUGUCUCUAUGAGUCGGAACUGACUCAAAAGCAACAUGUGCAAAAGGUUUUUUGUUUUUUUUGAUCAAGUCCAAUUUAUUUUUUUCUUUUGUUGCUUAUGCUUUUGUUGUCUAAGAAUCCAUUGCCAAAAACAAGGUCCUUCUAAGAGUCUGAAGGAGCCCUGGUAGAGCAGUGGUUAAAGAAUUCAGCUGCUAACUGAAAGGUUAGCAUUUCAAACCCACCAGCUGCUUCAUGGGAGAAAGAUGUGACAAUCUGCUUCUGUAAAGAUUACAACCUUGGGAACUCCAUGGGGCAGUUCUACUAUGUCCUAUAGGGUUGCUAUGAGUCAGAAUCAUCCCAUUGGCAAUGGGUUUUGGGUUUUCUAAGAACUUGAUGGCUUUAGCUCUUAUAUCUAGGUCAUUGAUCUGUUUUGAAUUAAUUUGCAUAUAUGCUAUGAGGUAGGGGUCCAACUUCAUUCUCUUGGAUGUGGAAAUUCAGUUGUCCCAGCACUAUUUGUUGAAGAGAACAUUCUUUCCCUAUUAAAUGGACUUGGCACCCUUGUUGAAAAUUGAUUGGCCAUAGAUGUAUGGAUUUAUUUCUGGACUCCAAUUCUAUUUCAUUGGUCUAUAUGUCUAUUCUUAUACUAGUACCACACUCUUUUGAUUACUGUAUUUUUAAAUCAGGAAACGUGAGCUCUCCUACUUUGUUCUUUUUAAGAUUGUUUUGGAUAU